rnacentral:lncRNA from 1 species
GGCAGGAUCUAUGGGUCAGGAUCUAUGGGGCUGGGAUCUAUGGGGCAGGAUCUAUGGGGCGGGAUCUAUGGGGCAGGAUCUAUGGGGUUUGGAUCUAUGGGGCUGGGAUCUAUGGGGCAGGGAUCUUUGUGAAUCUAUGGGGCAGGAUCUAUGGGGCUGAGAUCUCUGGGAUUUCUGGGAUCUAUGGAGCUGGAUCUAUGGGUCGGGAUCUAUGGGUCCGGAUCUAUGGGUCCGGAUCUAUGGGGCUGGGAUCUUUGGGGAUCUAUGGGUCAGGAUCUAUGGGGCUGGGAUCUAUGGGGCUGGGAUCUAUGGGUCCGGAUCUAUGGGGCUGGGAUCUAUGGGGCAGGGCCGGGCGGUUCUGGCCGUGUCUCGCUGUGGGGCAGCGACCUCCUGGGACGGGGCCGGGCGGCCCCGGGGUCACCUCCGGGGUCACCUCCGGGCGCCGGCCAACGGCGACGUCGCCCCCCCGGGUAAGGCCCUAAUUAAUUAAU